rnacentral:tRNA from 1 species
GAAAUAUCAAUAAAUAAAGCUUCUAACUUUAACUCUAGAUUCAUAAAUAAAUCUAUAUUUCU